rnacentral:rRNA from 1 species
GAUGAACGCUGGCGGCGUGCUUAACACAUGCACGUCGAACGUGAGGGUGUAGCAAUAUGCCUGAAAGUGGCGAACGGGUGAGUAACACGUAGAUGACCUGCCCUGGAGUGGGGGAUAACCAUUGGAAACGGUGGCUAAUACCGCAUACAUCCAGUAGAUUGGGAAAUUUUCUGGGGAAAGCUCUGGUGCGCUGGGAGGGGUCUGCGUCCGAUUAGCUAGUUGGUGAGGUAAAGGCUCACCAAGGCGGCGAUCGGUAGCUGGUCUGAGAGGACGAGCAGCCACACGGGAACUGAGACACGGUCCCGACUCCUUGGGGGGGCAGCAGGGGGGAAUAUUGGGCAAUGGGCGAGAGCCUAACCCAGCAACGCCGCGUGGAGGAAGACGGCCUUCGGGUUGUAAACUCCUUUUGCCAGGGAAGAGAGAGGACGGUACCUGUCGAAUAAGUCACGGCUAACUACGUGCCAGCAGCCGCCGUAAUAC